UAUCUCUGUAGAGUCUGCAUAUCAAUAAGCGGAGGAAAAGAAACUAACUAGGAUUCCCUCAGUAACGGCGAGUGAAGCGGGAAGAGCUCAAAUUUGAAAUCUUCAAGGUUCUACCUUGACGAAUUGUAGUUUAAAGAAGUGUUUUCUGUUAGAUGAGUAGCAAAAGUUCCUUGGAAUGGGACAUCAUAGAGGGUGAGAAUCCCGUAUUUGGUUAUUCAUUCUAGCUUUGUGAUACACUUUCAAAGAGUCGGAUUGUUUGGGAAUGCAGUCCAAAAUGGGUGGUAAAUUUCAUCUAAAGCUAAAUAUUGGCGAGAGACCGAUAGCGAACAAGUACCGUGAGGGAAAGAUGAAAAGAACUUUGAAAAGAGAGUUAAACAGUACGUGAAAUUGUCAAAAGGGAAGCGUUUGACACCAGUGUUGUUUUUCCGAAAAUCAAUUACGAAUGGCUUGAUUCUGUGUUGUAUUGACCUUAUCAGCUUUCUUCACUUUUUUCGAGUCUUUCUUAAUGCACUUUUCGGUUAACAAGUCAACAUCAAUUUCUUUUGUUGUAAAAGAGUAUUCGGAAGGUGGCUUUCUUUUCGGAGAAAGUGUUUAUAGCCCUAUACUUCUACAAUCGGAGAGAUUGAGGUCUGCAGCGUAGAUCCUUCGGGGUUAGAUACACUUGUGCUAAGUUGUAGCUUUUCAUAGACAACUUGUUGACUAUGUUUAGUCAUGCGGCUUACUCGCUUGUGCUAUUUUACCUACGCUUAGGAUGUUGAAGAUGUAGCACAUCAU
rnacentral:rRNA from 1 species